GAUGAACGCUAGCUACAGGCUUAACACAUGCAAGUCGAGGGGCAGCAUUUUAGUUUGCUUGCAAACUAAAGAUGGCGACCGGCGCACGGGUGAGUAACACGUAUCCAACCUGCCGAUAACUCGGGGAUAGCCUUUCGAAAGAAAGAUUAAUAUCCGAUAGUAUAUUAAAACCGCAUGGUUUUACUAUUAAAGAAUUUCGGUUAUCGAUGGGGAUGCGUUCCAUUAGUUUGUUGGCGGGGUAACGGCCACCAAGACUACGAUGGAUAGGGGUUCUGAGAGGAAGGUCCCCCACAUUGGAACUGAGACACGGUCCAAACUCCUACGGGAGGCAGCAGUGAGGAAUAUUGGUCAAUGGGCGAGAGCCUGAACCAGCCAAGUAGCGUGAAGGAUGACUGCCCUAUGGGUUGUAAACUUCUUUUAUAAAGGAAUAAAGUCGGGUAUGUAUACCCGUUUGCAUGUACUUUAUGAAUAAGGAUACGGCUAACUCCGUG
rnacentral:rRNA from 1 species